UAAUCAUUUCUCUCUCUUGUUCUUGUGGUUGAUUCGAAUCAAUUUCGUUAUUUUUCUCUCCAAGACAGAGUGAUUGUGAUCUCUAGAGAAACGUAGCUGAUACUAGGCCAUCGUUCUCUUUUUGUAGAUAUUCUCUUACGAUAAUCAGCAAUUUGAAGACCCAUGCUUCAGUGGUACCCUUUUUCUCUUUUCUUUCUGUGUUAUGUGUGUUUGCAUGGAUUUGUCUUCUCUUUGUUAAUUUCGGCGAUCUGUAUUUAUUUGAUGGGCUUUCGAGGUGGGUUUUAGCUAAUCAAGAGGUGGGGGCUUCGAUUUAUACUUCUGUGACCAAUUUCAGAUCUUAAGGAUUUUCUUUUUUUUGCAGUUUUUUUUCCUCUUCGUUACUUCUCUGUUUGGCUAGUGAGAAACUGUUGGGAUAGUAUAAAUUUGGAAUCUUUACCUGUUAGUCGAUUAAGUUUGCCUUUGUUCACUAGGUCUGAAAUGGGAAUAAUAGAUGUUUGGUUGCAUCUAUUUAUAUCUUAAGAAGAAAAAGCUGAAUCAAUUGCCUGACUUUUGUGGGCAGAGCCACCUUUCUUAGCUGGCCCAUUUGAUCCAUCUGUUCAGUUGUUUUUUAAUACUGCCACUACUGCUACUACUUUAUUUUCUCUCAGUUUUUUGCCAUCUCCUCCUUUGCGGAGACAACAAUUUACAACAGCAGCUUGCUUGAGCUGCUUAGCUAUUCGUCUUAUCUGCUUUACUGUUUAGCAAGGGGAACUAUAAUAUAUUUGAUGGUGAGUAUUAACCUGGCAAUGGAACCUUCAUUGUGAUGUCAAAAAUUAAUCCUGUAUGAUGUUAUGCCUUGCCAAAUCUUUUGUGCUUUCUCUUUAGUCUUUUCAAUUAUGUUUUAGUUUGGACGUUCUUGCAUAAAUGGGAAGCAAUUUGGUAGACAAGAUAUAGUUUAUGGUUUUGAGUAGAAGUGAUUGGAUCUUGUUGCUGGAUUCCCAAUCUCUGGAUUCUCUGAAAGCUCCUUUAUUAACUUAUUUUUUUGUGUUCUUAACAAAAGACCUAUUAUAUUUUAUCCUUACAGCUUGGUAAAUAAAAUGAAUUGCAACUUUUUUUUCUUGGAUUAUCUUUUACUUGCCAAUCAAAGAAAAAUAUAUUGAGCCUCUGUGAGGCUAGGCUAUAAUUUAGUGUGUAAGAAUCUGGAAAAUAAGGAGCAACAUGUCCAUGAAAUAUGGUUGACUCCAGCUUCUUUGGGUUUUAAGGCUCAAUUGAGUUUAGUUGAGCUGCUUACAGAACUUCCAUAAUUUAUUUGUGGUAUUUUAUAGCCUCUAUUGUUGCUAGUUUUUGUCCUUGACCUAAGUGUCUUUAUGUGGUAGUUAUUUUCAUGAAAAAUAUUCUGCAUUUCAUAUAUGAUUCUGUUCAUUUCUGGGUGCUGUAAGGAUUUACCUGGUCUGUAUACCGGAAAUAUAAUUAGUGGAGAGGGAUAGAACUGAUUGUCCUUGGUCUUUCUUCAUUUUUUUCAUGGGAAGCAGUAAUGCAAAGAUUAUUUAA
rnacentral:misc_RNA from 1 species